rnacentral:misc_RNA from 1 species
UUAAGUCCAACGGGUAGUCUUGCUUGAUUUGAGAUCUAGUUUACAGAUCGCUUGCGCGACAUGUUAAAUCCUGCAUCAUUCAGCCAUCGCGACUCUUCAACCUUUAUGUUAGCUACAGCAAAAGUAAUAAUCCAUUUGACGGGAUUAAACAAGUAUGCUUAUAGCUCAGAAGAAAGAAUCAAGCUGCACCUGCAUUUCAA